GACGAACGCUGGCGGCGUGCUUAACACAUGCAAGUCGAACGGAAAGGCCCUGCUUUUGUGGGGUGCUCGAGUGGCGAACGGGUGAGUAACACGUGAGUAACCUGCCCUUGCCUUUGGGAUAACUUCAGGAAACUGGGGCUAAUACUGGAUAGGAGCUCCUGCUGCAUGGCGGGGGUUGGAAAGUUUCGGCGGUUGGGGAUGGACUCGCGGCUUAUCAGCUUGUUGGUGGGGUAGUGGCUUACAAAGGCUUUGACGGGUAGCCGGCCUGAGAGGGUGACCGGCCACAGUGGAACUGAGAUACGGCCCAGACUCCUACGGGAGGCAGCAGUGAGGAAUAUUGCACAAUGGGCGGAAGCCUGAUGCAGCAACGCCGCGUGCGGGAUGACGGCCUUCGGGUUGUAAACCGCUUUCGCCUGUGACGAAGCGUGAGUGACGGUAAUGGGUAAAGAAGCACCGGCUAACUACGUG
rnacentral:rRNA from 1 species